AACUCGAGGCCACCGAUUUAUGGCUCUUCCUCUGGACUUUCUGGACUGGUUUGUGUGGUGGGUGCUUCCAAGAAAGAGAGCCAGAAAUGGACUCACACAGCUGAGGGGGCUAGAAAGGGUGAGAGGUGCCGGGCAGGCUGGAAACUCAGGCACGAGCAGAUGUUGCCCUUUGACAUAGAUCACCC
rnacentral:lncRNA from 1 species